CUACGGGAGGCAGCAGUGGGGAAUUUUGGACAAUGGGGGCAACCCUGAUCCAGCCAUUCCGCGUGAGUGAAGAAGGCCUUCGGGUUGUAAAGCUCUUUUGUCGGGGACGAAACGGUUACGACUAAUACUCGUGACAACUGACGGUACCCGAAGAAUAAGCACCGGCUAACUACGUGCCAGCAGCCGCGGUAAUACGUAGGGUGCGAGCGUUAAUCGGAAUUACUGGGCGUAAAGCGUGCGCAGGCGGUUUUGUAAGCCAGAUGUGAAAUCCCCGGGCUUAACCUGGGAAUGGCAUUUGGGACUGCAAGGCUAGAGUAUGGCAGAGGAGACUAGAAUUUCUGGUGUAGCAGUGAAAUGCGUAGAUAUCAGAAGGAAUACCGAUGGCGAAGGCAGGUCUCUGGGUCAAUACUGACGCUCAUGCACGAAAGCGUGGGGAGCAAACAGGAUUAGAUACCCUGGU
rnacentral:rRNA from 1 species